AGCUUUUGAGUUAAAUAUAUUAUAAUAUUAGUUAUUUAUUUAAAGUGUUGUAAAACUUUAUUAAAAAAUAUAUUUAGGGGUGAUAGGCUAUUCAAAAACUAAGAUAUCUUGAAUCUAAUUAAAAGUAUAUAGUACAUUCAACACGACUAUUAAGUGAUUAGGCUUAAUAGAAAUAUUAACUUUUUUUUGAUUUUUUUUAUUAUAAUUUAAUAACUAAAUUUUAUUAAUAAAAUAAUAUACAUAUAUUAAAAUUUAUAAGGAGUAAUUAGAUAAAUUUAAGUUUUAUAAUAAUUGAAAUAAUGUUAAUAUUAGUAUAUGUUUAAUAUUUAUUUGAUGAACUCGGCAAAAAUGUAUUUCUCAACUGUUUAUCAAAAACAUAACUAUGUGUAUAUAAUACAUAGCGGUUUCUGCUCAA
rnacentral:rRNA from 1 species